CCCUUAGAUGUUCUGGGCUGCACGCGCGCUACACUGUCGGAUUCAGCGAGUCAUAUCCUUAACCGAAAGGUUUGGGUAAUCUUUUGAAAGUCCGACGUGAUGGGGAUUGAUCAUUGCAAUUAUUGAUCAUGAACGAGGAAUUCCUAGUAAGCGCGAGUCAUCAGCUCGCGUUGAUUACGUCCCUGCCCUUUGUACACACCGCCCGUCGCUACUACCGAUUGAAUGGUUUAGUGAGAUCUUCGGAUUGGCGCCUACGCGGCUUCUCUGAGGCCACGCUGGAUGCCGAAAAGUUGCUCAAACUGUAUCAUUUGGAGGAAGUAAAAGUCGUAACA
rnacentral:rRNA from 1 species